rnacentral:lncRNA from 1 species
GGGUUCUUUAUUCAUCAAUCUUACAUCACAUGCAUUCAUCUUACUAUUACAUACACUAACCCUGAAAUAACAAAUAAACAGUGGUAAAAAUAAUAAAACAAACAAUACAAUUCAGUAUAUUAAAGUACUAGUCAUUUCCUUUUUCAUGUUUUUAAUACCAUUCAAGUUCAUGAUCACGUGUUCCUUUAUUGUUAAAACAUCAUAUAUUUUAACCUUUAUACUACAUAACAGUUUUCAACAACAACAAAUGGUUUUCAAUAAUCGAUCCGACUGAAUACAUACAAACAUCUUAAAUUCUAUACAAACG